AGGACGAACGCUGGCGGCGUGCUUAACACAUGCAAGUCGAACGGUGAAGCCCUUCGGGGUGGAUCAGUGGCGAACGGGUGAGUAACACGUGAGCAAUCUGCCCUUGACUCUGGGAUAACUUCGGGAAAACCGGAGCUAAUACCGGAUAUGACACAUGGUCGCAUGGUCUGUGUGUGGAAAGAUUUAUCGGUCAGGGAUGAGCUCGCGGCCUAUCAGCUUGUGGUGGGGUAAUGGCCCACCAAGGCGACGACGGGUAGCCGGCCUGAGAGGGCGACCGGCCACACUGGGACUGAGACACGGCCCAGACUCCUACGGGAGGCAGCAGUGGGGAAUAUUGCGCAAUGGGCGAAAGCCUGACGCAGCGACGCCGCGUGAGGGAUGGAAGGCCUUCGGGUCGUAAACCUCUUUCAGCGAGGGAGAAGCGAGAGUGACGGUACCUGCAGAAGAAGCACCGGCUAACUACGCGCCAGCAGCCGCGGU
rnacentral:rRNA from 1 species